rnacentral:rRNA from 1 species
CCCAAGGUUCCCUCAGAAUGGUUGGAAAUCAUUCGAAGAGUGCAAAGGCAGAAGGGAGCUUGACUGCGAGACCUACAAGUCGAGCAGGGACGAAAGUCGGGCUUAGUGAUCCGGUGGUACCGCAUGGAAGGGCCAUCGCUCAACGGAUAAAAGCUACCCUGGGGAUAACAGGCUUAUCUCCCCCAAGAGUCCACAUCGACGGGGAGGUUUGGCACCUCGAUGUCGGCUCAUCGCAUCCUGGGGCUGAAGUAGGUCCCAAGGGUUGGGCUGUUCGCCCAUUAAAGCGGUACGCGAGCUGGGUUCAGAACGUCGUGAGACAGUUCGGUCCCUAUCUGUCGUGGGCGCAGGAAAUUUGAGAGGAGCUGUCCUUAGUACGAGAGGACCGGGAUGGACGUACCGCUGGUGUACCAGUUGUUCCGCCAGGAGCACAGCUGGGUAGCUAUGUACGGAAGGGAUAAGCGCUGAAAGCAUCUAAGCGUGAAGCCCGCCUCAAGAUGAGAUUUCCCAAGUAGUAAGACCCCUUGAAGACGACGAGGUAGAUAGGUUGGGGGUGGAAGCGCAGCAAUGCGUGGAGCUGACCAAUACUAAUCGGUCGAGGGCUUAUCCUA